AGGACGAACGCUGGCGGCGUGCUUAACACAUGCAAGUCGAACGGAAAGGCCCGCUUGCGGGUACUCGAGUGGCGAACGGGUGAGUAACACGUGGGCAACCUGCCCUCAGCUUCGGGAUAACACUUGGAAACAGGUGCUAAUACCGGAUAAUAACUUUUCAUCGCAUGGUGGAUGGUUCAAAGUUUUUCGGCUGAGGAUGGGCCCGCGGCCUAUCAGCUUGUUGGUGGGGUAAUGGCCUACCAAGGCGACGACGGGUAGCCGGCCUGAGAGGGCGACCGGCCACACUGGGACUGAGACACGGCCCAGACUCCUACGGGAGGCAGCAGUGGGGAAUAUUGCGCAAUGGGCGGAAGCCUGACGCAGCGACGCCGCGUGAGGGAUGACGGCCUUCGGGUUGUAAACCUCUUUCAGCUCUGACGAAGCGCAAGUGACGGUAGGAGCAGAAGAAGCACCGGCCAACUACGUGCCAGCAGCCGCGGUAA
rnacentral:rRNA from 1 species